rnacentral:rRNA from 1 species
UACGGAGGGGGCUAGCGUUGUUCGGAAUUACUGGGCGUAAAGGGUGCGUAGGCGGGUCUUUAAGUCAGGGGUGAAAUCCUGGAGCUCAACUCCAGAACUGCCUUUGAUACUGAGGAUCUUGAGUACGGGAGAGGUGAGUGGAACUGCGAGUGUAGAGGUGAAAUUCGUAGAUAUUCGCAAGAACACCAGUGGCGAAGGCGGCUCACUGGCCCGUAACUGACGCUGAGGCACGAAAGCGUGGGGAGCAAACAGG